rnacentral:rRNA from 1 species
AGAGUUUGAUCCUGGCUCAGGACGAACGCUGGCGGCGCGCCUAACACAUGCAAGUCGAACGAGAGAUGAGGAGCUUGCUCUUCAGAUCGAGUGGCGAACGGGUGAGUAACGCGUGAGGAACCUGCCUCAAAGAGGGGGACAACAGUUGGAAACGACUGCUAAUACCGCAUAAGCCCACGGCUCGGCAUCGAGCAGAGGGAAAAGGAGUGAUCCGCUUUGAGAUGGCCUCGCGUCCGAUUAGCUAGUUGGUGAGGUAACGGCCCACCAAGGCGACGAUCGGUAGCCGGACUGAGAGGUUGAACGGCCACAUUGGGACUGAGACACGGCCCAGACUCCUACGGGAGGCAGCAGUGGGGAAUAUUGCACAAUGGAGGAAACCCUGAUGCAGCGACGCCGCGUGGAGGAAGAAGGUCUUCGGAUUGUAAACUCCUGUUGUUGAGGAAGAUAAUGACGGUACUCAACAAGGAAGUGACGGCUAACUACGUGCCAGCAGCCGCGGUAAAACGUAGGUCACAAGCGUGUCCGGAAUUACUGGGUGUAAAGGGAGCGCAGCGGGAGACAAGUUGGGAGUGAAAUCCAUGGGCUCAACCCAUGAACUGCUUUCAAAACUGUUUUUCUUGAGUAGUGCAGAGGUAGGCGGAAUUCCCGGUGUAGCGGUGGAAUGCGUAGAUAUCGGGAGGAACACCAGUGGCGAAGGCGGCCUACUGGGCACCAACUGACGCUGAGGCUCGAAAGUGUGGGUAGCAAACAGGAUUAGAUACCCUGGUAGUCCACACCGUAAACGAUGAUUACUAGGUGUUGGAGGAUUGACCCCUUCAGUGCCGCAGUUAACACAAUAAGUAAUCCACCUGGGGAGUACGACCGCAAGGUUGAAACUCAAAGGAAUUGACGGGGGCCCGCACAAGCAGUGGAGUAUGUGGUUUAAUUCGACGCAACGCGAAGAACCUUACCAAGUCUUGACAUCCCUUGACGAACAUAGAAAUAUGUUUUCUCUUCGGAGCAAGGAGACAGGUGGUGCAUGGUUGUCGUCAGCUCGUGUCGUGAGAUGUUGGGUUAAGUCCCGCAACGAGCGCAACCCUUAUGGUCAGUUACUACGCAAGAGGACUCUGGCCAGACUGCCGUUGACAAAACGGAGGAAGGUGGGGAUGACGUCAAAUCAUCAUGCCCUUUAUGACCUGGGCUACACACGUACUACAAUGGCGUUAAACAAAGAGAAGCAAGACCGCGAGGUGGAGCAAAACUCAGAAACAACGUCCCAGUUCGGACUGCAGGCUGCAACUCGCCUGCACGAAGUCGGAAUUGCUAGUAAUCGUGGAUCAGCAUGCCACGGUGAAUACGUUCCCGGGCCUUGCACACACCGCCCGUC